GCGCUACACUGAUGCAUUCAACAAGCCUAUCCUUGACCGAAGGGUCUGGGUAAUCUUUGAAACUGCAUCGUGAUGGGGAUAGAUUAUUGCAAUUAUUAGUCUUCAACGAGGAAUGCCUAGUAAGCGCAAGUCAUCAGCUUGCGUUGAUUACGUCCCUGCCCUUUGUACACACCGCCCGUCGCUCCUACCGAUUGGGUGUGCUGGUGAAGUGUUCGGAUUGGCAGCUUAGGGUGGCAACACCUCAGGUCUGCCGAGAAGUUCAUUAAACCCUCCCACCUAGAGGAAGGAGAAGUCGUAACAAGGUUUCCGUAGGUGAACCUGCGGAAGGAUCAUUGAAUUAUUAAAACCACAAUGCGAACCUAUCUGUUCCGUGCCUUAGCUGCCAGCAAGGCAAUUGGCUUGCCCAAUUGUACUUGCAAGCUGGUGCGAGUAAUUUGAUUACUUGCAUCAGUGGCGCUUUGGCAUGCUUAUACACCAGUGCUAACCACUGUCAAAACCAAACUCUGAAGCUUUGAUUGCUAUUAACUGGCAAUCUUAACCAAAGACAACUCUCAACAACGGAUAUCUUGGCUCUCGCAACGAUGAAGAACGCAGCGAAAUGCGAUACGUAGUGUGAAUUGCAGAAUUCCGUGAACCAUCGAAUCUUUGAACGCAUAUUGCGCUCGAGCCCUCGGGCAAGAGCAUGUCUGCCUCAGCGUCGGUUUAUACCCUCACCCCUCUCUCCUUUUGGAGGGCUGGUCAGCUUCUAGUUGGCCUCAGGGAUGGAUCUGGCUUUCCCAAUUGGUUCACUCCGAUUGGGUUGGCUGAAGCUUAGAGGCUUAAGCAAGGACCCGAUAUGGGCUUCAACUGGAUAGGUAGCACCGGCUUCUGCCGACUACACGAAGUUGUGGCUUGUGGACUUUGCUAGAGGCCAAGCAGGAAACAUGCUUUGCAUGUCUUAAACUUUCGACCUGAGCUCAGGCAAGGCUACCCGCUGAACUUAAGCAUAUCAAUAAGCGGAGGAAAAGAAACUAACUAGGAUGCGCUUAGUAACGGCGAGCGAACCGCGCAAAGCCCAACUUGAAAAUCUCCCUUGGAGAAUUGUAGUCUAUAGAAGUACCCUCUGUAACGGGCGCAGCUCAAGUCUCCUGGAAAGGGGCGUCAGAGAGGGUGAGAACCCCGUAAGCUGUUGCUUUGUUGCCUCACGAGGUGCUUUCAAAGAGUCGGGUUGCUUGGGAAUGCAGCCCAAAUUUGGUGGUAAAUC
rnacentral:rRNA from 1 species